UCUUGACCAGAGGAGGGGAUGCUGGUUCCACUGCCACGGAGUGCCGAAUUCUGCUGCAGCUUUCCAAACACUUCCUCAUGGGCCACAUCAGUGUGUGCUGUUCCUGUCAUACUAAUAGUUCUGUUCUCUUGAGUAAACCUGAAGCUCCAUUUCCAGAAUUUCCUCUGUGCCCUUUUCUCCGCUCUCAUUUAGGCCCACGUAAGUACAGGAAGGAAGCCUUUGAGAGUGGGAAUGCUCAGUCUGAAAAUACAUUUUGAGACAAAGUGAGGGAAGAACUGAGUCAUGGGAGCAAAGCCCAGUCUUCUUUCUUCCCUUCCUUCCCCUAGCAGCUCUUUGGUGGGGCUGCCUUCUCUGCCAGGCAACUUCCCCCAGAGUCAUCAUAGGCUGGAAAAGAACCCAUACAGGUCAAGAGGUCAAUUCGGCUUAAAUGUUAGAUGCCAUGCUGCUUUUCCUCACACACAACCAAGGGAGG